GCUGGUGUAGCGCAGUUGGUAGAGCAGCUGACUUGUAAUCAGCAGGUCGGGGGUUCAAGUCCUCUUGCCAGCUCCA
rnacentral:tRNA from 1 species